AGAAUCAACGCUGGCGGCGUGCCUAACACAUGCAAGUCGAACGAGAAAGUGGUAGCAAUACCAUGAGUAAAGUGGCGCACGGGUGAGUAACACGUGACUAACCUACCCUGGAGUGGGGGAUAACUGAGGGAAACCUUAGCUAAUACCGCAUAAUACCUACGGGUCAAAGGAGCAAUUCGCUUUGGGAGGGGGUCGCGGCCGAUUAGUUAGUUGGCGGGGUAAUGGCCCACCAAGACAGUGAUCGGUAUCCGGCCUGAGAGGGCGCACGGACACACUGGAACUGAAACACGGUCCAGACUCCUACGGGAGGCAGCAGUGGGGAAUUUUGCGCAAUGGGGGAAACCCUGACGCAGCAACGCCGCGUGGAGGAUGAAGUCCUUCGGGACGUAAACUCCUUUCGAUCGGGACGAUAAUGACGGUACCGGAAGAAGAAGCCCCGGCUAACUUCGUGCCAGCAGCCGCGGUAAUACGUAGGGUGCAAGCGUUGUCCGGAAUCAUUGGGCGUAAAGAGCGUGUAGGCGGCCCGAUAAGUCCGCUGUGAAAGUCCAGGGCUCAACCCUGGAAUGCCGGUGGAUACUGUCGGGCUAGAGUCCGGAAGGGGCGAGUGGAAUUCCUGGUGUAGCGGUGAAAUGCGCAGAUAUCAGGAGGAACACCAAUGGCGAAGGCAGCUCGCUGGGACGGUACUGACGCUGAGACGCGAAAGCGUGGGGAGCAAACAGGAUUAGAUACCCUGGUAGUCCACGCUGUAAACGAUGGCAACUAGGUGUGGGGGGUGUCGACUCCCCCUGUGCCGAAGCUAACGCAUUAAGUUGCCCGCCUGGGGAGUACGGCCGCAAGGCUAAA
rnacentral:rRNA from 1 species